UCAGCGGGUAAUCCUGUGGGGCUGAGGUAUAAAGGUUCUUAUAAAAAUUUUUAUGUCGAUUGCGAAAUUAAUCUCAAAUAGUCAACAUCAUUCCAUUAGUGAAUCAAUUGAAACACAACGCCAUAUUGGAAUUUGAAGAAACGCUCAACCCCACAUGCCCAGCGGAAUACCACUGGGCGCAAUGUGCGUUCAAAAACUUGAUGACUCAGUUAUGCAAUUUCCAUUACGUAUCGCAUUUCGCUGCGUUCUUCAUCGAUGCCAGAGCCA
rnacentral:misc_RNA from 1 species